rnacentral:tRNA from 4 species
UCUCGUUAGCUCAGCCGGUAGAGCAUCUCCCUUUUAAGGAGGGGGCCGUUGGUUCGAAUCC